CUCCCUAAAAACGCAGCAGCACUCAGUUUCUCUUCCUCUCCACCAACCCGUGAGCUCUUCUCCCUCUCAACUCUCAUCUCUUCUUCACACAAGCUCGGAUUAGCAUGGGAAUGGGCUGAGCUCCUGUGAAGGACAAAGAGUAACGGUUUCAUGGGCUGAAAACAAUAGCUUGAGCUUGGAUCAUGGGUCUUGCUUCCAAGUGAAAGUUCCAUCAUCUACAAGACUAAAGUAGUGAUUAUCAACUUCAAAGGGGUUUAAUAUACCGAUUAUUCUAAGAUGUGGAUACUACCACAACCGUGUAGAUGAUGUUCCUUUGACUGCAGGUACUUCGGUAUAGUUGAUGGGUUGGUAGCAGUGUACUUGGGAUAUUAUGACUGAAGCUCGCCGCGACGGUUGUAAUUGUCGGACCACGGGUUGUCCACUAUUUUUUUAGGUCUGGUAUGGCUUGUGACGCUUGUGUCACUUAUUCUUUGUUAAGCCAUUAUUGUUAUGUAAAUAUUGUGUUAAUAAGACUCAAGCAGAUAGAUGUUAAAUGACUCUUGUUGUAAUUUAUUUGUGAUAGAUGUGUAAAUUGUAAUUUCCGCUAUUCGAGUUUAUG